GUUCCUACUAUAUAUUGAAGUCAUCCAGAGAAAGCAGAAAACUGCAUUUAUUCUUGGUUUUGAGGAAUUUGAGAAAGCAUGGAUAGAGAAGUGAACAAAUCAUGCUAUCUGAGCAAGGUGUGGAUUAAAAUGACCCUGACAUAAGACAGGGACAGCGGAAUCCAUUUCAGCAGCCCAGAGGCCCUGUUAAGGACUAUUAUAUAAAGAUGUCGGCACAACCUCUUGUGCUCUUGCCUCCUGCCACAAGAACAUAUGUCCCAGAAAAGGGCCACUCCAUCAGCCUAGGUCCAGAAAUGAGAGGACACAUGGACUGAACUUGAAGAUGGCCCACAGCAGACCUGCAGUCAACUCUCAGCCUUUAUGUAAUGCGGGAAAGAAGGAAAUGUGAAUAUUAUAGACUACUAAAAUUCUAAAGUUGUAACAUAGCAAAAUGAUCGAUACAAUUAGCAGUGGCAAUCAGUCUAGCAUAUUGUCAUGCUAUAUGCAUGCUAUAAAACUAUUGAACAAAAAUAUCACUAUCCUAUCAUGGACACAUUGGACUUUUCUUUUCUCCUUAUGACUGCAUCACGUGUGAUGAUCAGAAAUGGAGUGAAGACAGAAAAAUAAGAAAAUUCAAGAAUGUGCUACAGAGUGAUCCUCUCCCUCUUAGAGCACCCACAGAAACCACUCAUGGCUUCUCUGUCUGCAUCCUCUCCACACAAACAUAUUCUUUAAGAUUUGCAGUGAAUGAAUGGCUGGAUUCAUGGUGUUCUUUUAAAUAGGAAAAAUUCUUGGUGAACUCAUAAAAGCUACUUUGGCUGAAGGAAACCAGACUAGGCACGUGCAUCUCAGGUUGAAGGAAGACAGGCCAUAAGGGAACUCCUUUCCAAAGAGGAAAAGGAUAGGAAUCAAGACCACGUGAAUGUCCUGUAUAACAGAAAAAGACAAAGUUGAAAAAUCAAGUAUUGUCCCUCUCUUGGGAUGGAACCCCAAGGAGAAGCAUAAUAAAAACAUCCAGAGAGUUUGAAGAAGCCAGAGAGCAACGGGUGAGUCCAUGGCACACCUCCAAGUCUAGCUUGUGUGCCUAUGGGGAGGGAGUGGCAGGAGAAUCCCCACGUUUAGCCAUAGCCAUCUGGUGCAGGAGCAAUAUUACGGCAGUGGGAAGGAAUAGUUAUAGGAGCUGGAGGUGGUGCCCAUGGCUCUUUCAUAGCCUAGCCAGUUCCUACAAAAGCCCAAAAUUCUCCCUCUGUCUCAAUUGCAGGAUAGGACCUGCACAGUUACCUAAAGUGCUGGGAAAGCAAGAGAGGUUUGAAAUUAGGUUAAAACAGCUUCAACACAUAAUGACUUCAUGACCAACUGAAACCACAAUAUCCAGUAGUGAAUGCAGCCCUCAGAGAAGGCCCAGCAGUCGACAAGGCCCAAUAGCAGGAUGAAAGGUUCUGGACCUUCCCACCUCCCCACACUGUCACAAGAUCAUUAGGCCCUAGAUGCCACCUUAGCAAGGCACAGGGGAAAGAGGGGAAAUGUGAAAACUUACCAUCUACGUAAGAUAACAGUCAUUCAAAAGACCAUUUCAAUCAAAGGAGACUAGGUUACAUUGAUUCAACAAGCUAAGUUUCUCCUCUAUAUAGAGUGAUUAUUAUAGGAAAGGAUGGAGCUGGGGAGGUUAGACUGGGAAUAAAUGUAUUCAUUAUUUAAUAAGCAAACAAAACAAGACUCACAAAUUCUAUUUUUAUGUACAAGCCUUAGAACAAAUCUUGUUCCUGAGUAUAA
rnacentral:lncRNA from 1 species